UUCAUUCAGGUGCUUCUUCCUGGUUCUUCCUGGUUCUCUUUCUUGUUUUUUCGGGUUGUCUCUGUUUUACUUCCUGGUUCUGUGCCAACAAAGACUGAUUUCCUGAGAGCCUGAUGUAUUCCCUCGUCUGCCUUUAAAAUAAUAACUGCCUCUGCGGAUCUGUCGACUUUUCUCGGAUGUGUUCCAGGGGAAAGGCAGAAGGUAGAGGAGAACACAGAUGACCUGUAGUCGGCAUUACGUUUGUAAGGCCCCUCCCAUCUCCUGAACGGCCAUUCCUGGCAGAGGCUGUGGGGUGAAACUGCAGCAGAGAUAAACCCACCACAGGCGGGCUCACGUACUUCCUAAUAGCUCAGAGCUCCGACACUCCCACAACCCGCCUGUGGGCCAGCACCUGAUCCUGGUUCCCUUCAGGGUGGACUUUGCACGGGCCUGGACUCGGGGAGCAGCUGCAGGCUCCUCCUCAGUCUCGGCUGCUGAGACUCACCUUCCUGGGGGCACCGCCAGGAGCCUGGCCUUGACCUUGAGCCUGUCACCCUCCAGUGGGAGGUCUUCACCCUUCAGCUACCUGCCUCGUCUCCUUGGCGGUUUCGAAGGCACCUGUCCUUUCAGAAGUGGUGAUGGAGACACAGCUUGCAGAAGGAGGUGCCCCAGCUUUAACCACUGGACAUGUGGCCUGCAGGUCCUCCAGAGGGGAGCAAACUGUCCAUCCUGUAGAGCACCAUGGGCCGACAAACCAGCCUUUUGGGAGGACGGCCUGGCCCAGCCAACCUGCUGGACAGCAGCUCAGAAUCCAGGGCUGGCUCAUGCCUUUGUGCACGACCAGGAGCGGUGCCACCAAAGAAUCUGACCCGUGACCUGUGCCCUAUGCCCUUACACUUGGGAGCUCAGCAGUCAACUUGCCCCUGGCAGGGGUCAGGAGUCCCCCAGAGCGCAGCAAUGGGACAGGCAGAGUCAGGGCCACCCUGCCCUGGCCACGGCCUCCAGGCUUCCUUCCCAAGACCCCACGGCCAUGGGGUGAGCCUGCCCCGGUAUCUACACUGUGAACUUGGAGACACAUGCAGAAAAGUGCUGUACCAGAUUGAUGUAGCACAGGAGGGCAACACCACACACUUUCUGUCCCUUUCAGAGAUUCUCUCAGGUGCAAAUGUUACUUGUUGUGAAUAAAAACCCAGUGAGUGGCUGAAAUGCCACACUCUCCCCCACCUUCAGAAGCCCUUCUCCAUUCACUGUCCUC